GGUUAAGCGACUAAGCGUACACGGUGGAUGCCCUGGCAGUCAGAGGCGAUGAAGGACGUGCUAAUCUGCGAAAAGCGUCGGUAAGGUGAUAUGAACCGUUAUAACCGGCGAUGUCCGAAUGGGGAAACCCAGUGUGAUUCGUCACACUAUCGUUAACUGAAUACAUAGGUUAACGAGGCGAACCGGGGGAACUGAAACAUCUAAGUACCCCGAGGAAAAGAAAUCAACCGAGAUUCCCCCAGUAGCGGCGAGCGAACGGGGAGCAGCCCAGAGUCUGAAUCAGCUUGUGUGUUAGUGGAACGGUCUGGAAAGUCCGACGGUACAGGGUGAUAGUCCCGUACACCAAAAUGCACAGGUUGUGAACUCGAAGAGUAGGGCGGGACACGUGGUAUCCUGUCUGAAUAUGGGGGGACCAUCCUCCAAGGCUAAAUACUCCUGACUGACCGAUAGUGAACCAGUACCGUGAGGGAAAGGCGAAAAGAACCCCGGCGAGGGGAGUGAAAAAGAACCUGAAACCGUGUACGUACAAGCAGUGGGAGCACCUUCGGGUGUGACUGCGUACCUUUUGUAUAAUGGGUCAGCGACUUAUAUUCUGUAGCAAGGUUAACCGUAUAGGGGAGCCGCAGGGAAACCGAGUCUUAACUGGGCGUUAAGUUGCAGGGUAUAGACCCGAAACCCGGUGAUCUAGCCAUGGGCAGGUUGAAGGUUGGGUAACACUAACUGGAGGACCGAACCGACUAAUGUUGAAAAAUUAGCGGAUGACUUGUGGCUGGGGGUGAAAGGCCAAUCAAACCGGGAGAUAGCUGGUUCUCCCCGAAAGCUAUUUAGGUAGCGCCUCGUGAAUUCAUCUUCGGGGGUAGAGCACUGUUUCGGCUAGGGGGUCAUCCCGACUUACCAACCCGAUGCAAACUACGAAUACCGAAGAAUGUUAUCACGGGAGACACACGGCGGGUGCUAACGUCCGUCGUGAAGAGGGAAACAACCCAGACCGCCAGCUAAGGUCCCAAAGUCAUGGUUAAGUGGGAAACGAUGUGGGAAGGCACAGACAGCCAGGAUGUUGGCUUAGAAGCAGCCAUCAUUUAAAGAAAGCGUAAUAGCUCACUGGUCGAGUCGGCCUGCGCGGAAGAUGUAACGGGGCUAAACCAUGCACCGAAGCUGCGGCAGCGACACUAUGUGUUGUUGGGUAGGGGAGCGUUCUGUAAGCCUGCGAAGGUGACCUGUGAGGGUUGCUGGAGGUAUCAGAAGUGCGAAUGCUGACAUAAGUAACGAUAAAGCGGGUGAAAAGCCCGCUCGCCGGAAGACCAAGGGUUCCUGUCCAACGUUAAUCGGGGCAGGGUGAGUCGACCCCUAAGGCGAGGCCGAAAGGCGUAGUCGAUGGGAAACAGGUUAAUAUUCCUGUACUUGGUGUUACUGCGAAGGGGGGACGGAGAAGGCUAUGUUAGCCGGGCGACGGUUGUCCCGGUUUAAGCAUGUAGGCUGAUUGUCCAGGCAAAUCCGGAUAAUCAAGGCUGAGGUGUGAUGACGAGGCACUACGGUGCUGAAGUAACAAAUGCCCUGCUUCCAGGAAAAGCCUCUAAGCAUCAGGUAACAUUAAAUCGUACCCCAAACCGACACAGGUGGUCAGGUAGAGAAUACCAAGGCGCUUGAGAGAACUCGGGUGAAGGAACUAGGCAAAAUGGUGCCGUAACUUCGGGAGAAGGCACGCUGGUGUGUAGGUGAAGCCCCUGCGGGUGGAGCUGAGACCAGUCGAAGAUACCAGCUGGCUGCAACUGUUUAUUAAAAACACAGCACUGUGCAAACACGAAAGUGGACGUAUACGGUGUGACGCCUGCCCGGUGCCGGAAGGUUAAUUGAUGGGGUUAUCCGUAAGGAGAAGCUCUUGAUCGAAGCCCCGGUAAACGGCGGCCGUAACUAUAACGGUCCUAAGGUAGCGAAAUUCCUUGUCGGGUAAGUUCCGACCUGCACGAAUGGCGUAAUGAUGGCCAGGCUGUCUCCACCCGAGACUCAGUGAAAUUGAACUCGCUGUGAAGAUGCAGUGUACCCGCGGCAAGACGGAAAGACCCCGUGAACCUUUACUAUAGCUUGACACUGAACAUUGAGCCUUGAUGUGUAGGAUAGGUGGGAGGCUUUGAAGCGUGGACGCCAGUCUGCGUGGAGCCAACCUUGAAAUACCACCCUUUAAUGUUUGAUGUUCUAACGUUGGCCCCUUACCGGGGUUGCGGACAGUGUCUGGUGGGUAGUUUGACUGGGGCGGUCUCCUCCCAAAGCGUAACGGAGGAGCACGAAGGUUAGCUAAUCCUGGUCGGACAUCAGGAGGUUAGUGCAAUGGCAUAAGCUAGCUUGACUGCGAGCGUGACGGCGCGAGCAGGUGCGAAAGCAGGUCAUAGUGAUCCGGUGGUUCUGAAUGGAAGGGCCAUCGCUCAACGGAUAAAAGGUACUCCGGGGAUAACAGGCUGAUACCGCCCAAGAGUUCAUAUCGACGGCGGUGUUUGGCACCUCGAUGUCGGCUCAUCACAUCCUGGGGCUGAAGUAGGUCCCAAGGGUAUGGCUGUUCGCCAUUUAAAGUGGUACGCGAGCUGGGUUUAGAACGUCGUGAGACAGUUCGGUCCCUAUCUGCCGUGGGCGCUGGAGAAUUGAGGGGGGCUGCUCCUAGUACGAGAGGACCGGAGUGGACGCAUCACUGGUGUUCGGGUUGUCAUGCCAAUGGCACUGCCCGGUAGCUAAAUGCGGAAGAGAUAAGUGCUGAAAGCAUCUAAGCACGAAACUUGCCCCGAGAUGAGUUCUCCCUGAGACUUUAAGUCUCCUGAAGGAACGUUAAAGACGAUGACGUUGAUAGGCCGGGUGUGUAAGCGCAGCGAUGCGUUGAGCUAACCGGUACUAAUGAACCGUGAGGCUUAACCUUAC
rnacentral:rRNA from 1 species